rnacentral:rRNA from 3 species
AUAACGACUCUCGGCAACGGAUAUCUCGGCUCUCGCAUCGAUGAAGAACGUAGCGAAAUGCGAUACUUGGUGUGAAUUGCAGAAUCCCGUGAACCAUCGAGUCUUUGAACGCAAGUUGCGCCCUAGGCCUUUUGGUCGAGGGCACGUCUGCCUGGGUGUCACG